GACGAACGCUGGCGGUGUGCUUAACACAUGCAAGUCGAACGGUAAGGCCCUUUCGGGGGUCCACGAGUGGCGAACGGGUGCGUAACACGUGAGUAACCUGCCCUCAUCUCUGGGAUAACAGUCGGAAACGGUUGCUAAUACUGGAUAUGAGCUUGCAAGGCAUCUUGUGGGUUGGAAAGAUUUUUUUUGGUUGGGGAUGGACUCGCGGCCUAUCAGCUUGUUGGUGAGGUAGUGGCUCACCAAGGCUUCGACGGGUAGCCGGCCUGAGAGGGCGACCGGCCACAUUGGGACUGAGAGACGGCCCAAACUCCUACGGGAGGCAGCAGUGGGGAAUAUUGCACAAUGGACGGAAGUCUGAUGCAGCAACGCCGCGUGCGGGAUGACGGCCUUCGGGUUGUAAACCGCUUUCAAUUGUGACGAAGCUUUUUUGUGACGGUAGCAGUAGAAGAAGCACCGGCUAACUACGUG
rnacentral:rRNA from 1 species